GAUGAACGCUGGCGGCGUGCCUAAUACAUGCAAGUCGAACGAACAGACGAAGCAGUUGCUCGUUUGACGGUAGCGGCGGGGGGGUGUGAAACAUGUGUGGAACCCACCCUGAUGAAGGGGAAAACCUCGUGAAACCGGAGCUAAAUCCGGAUUAACUAUUCAACCCCAAGGUGCGGGAGUUAAGGGCGGUUUUGCUGUGGCUUUGCGCGGGAGCCGUGCGGCAUUAGGUGGUGGGGGGGGUAACGGAUUACCAAGGCGACGAUGCGUAGCGGAGCUGAGAGGGUGAUCGGCCACACUGGAACUGAGACACGGUCCAGACUCCUACGGUAGGCAGCAGUGGGGAAUAUUGCACAAUGGGCGAAAGCCUGAUGGAGCAAUGCCGCGUGUAUGAUGAAGGCCUUCGGGUCGUAAAGUUCUGUUAUUAGGGAAGAACAGAUGAAAAAGAAAACAUGCACGUAUUGACGGUACCCACUGAAGAAGCACCGGCUAACUACGUG
rnacentral:rRNA from 1 species